rnacentral:lncRNA from 1 species
GUUCACCCCUGAUGGGCGGGGACACAGGCGGGUCAUCUGUUGUCUGUGAUCGGUUGAAGGUUUGAAACACAAAACAACAGCCUUGUUUGGAUUUACCAGCUGUAGUGUUUUACUGGUUUGUAAGGGAUCUUACUCACUCGUAAUAUUUUCAUAUCACGGCUCAAGAAUGAUCUGCGGCUGAAACCGAAAAACGCUAUCAUCAGGUGAGGACACUGCAUGAUUGCAGUUUAUUGAAUGAAAUUAAAUACCACAGACGAACCAUAAAGAAAUCGACUGAUAUUUUAGAUGCUGUUUUGUCAAUUCGAUCAUAAUUGUGAAUUUUAAUGUCUUCUGUGGCGUGACAUUGAUUGUCUCAGAAGCUCACAGCCUGGAAACCUAAGAUUUCUGCAAACCACCGAGGUCUCACUGUGACCCAAAUACCUAGAUUAUCAUUCCCUAUGAAAAUACAUUAUAGCUUAUUUAAGUGAGUGCUACAACCUCAAUUGCAUGAUAAUUUGACCUUUUUUCCCUGCAGUAGUGCUGUCUGUGUUUAUUUUUUUAGUUCAUAGUUUUCGAUGUGCCUACCUAACUUGGUAAAGGUAAAAUAUUACAAUAAUAAGACAGCAUCAAAAUACUUAGUUUUAAAGUAACCUGAGAGGACACUGUAUUGCAGGGUUUUACAUAGACACACAGUGCAGGAUAUUACAUAGAGCAUUACAGGUCUCAGAAAGGUGCAGGAGAUUCUGGAUGAAGGAGCCCCUCCCCCAUUUAUCAAAAGACAGAUGGGUCCUAACAAUGAAAAUCUGAGGGAGUGGGUACCAUUAUUUUAACCAAGAAUUCUCAUUGGACAGACCUAGUCAGCUGACCCAAACAGCUCAAAUUUGAAAAAUGAUAAUGAAUGAAGAGCUUCUUUAAAUCACCCACACCCAAACAGUCAAUGAGAGAUUAGAGCUAGUCUGACUGAGGGCAGUUAUGAUGCCUUUUAUGAUCCUGCAUAGGCUUAAAAAACAUUUUUAUGAAGAGUGUUUUUCUCAUCUAUAGCAGAUAAAGACUAAACAUCCGAGCUUCCUGCUAUACAAAGAAAAGGAAAAAGGAACAACAGGAAAAUCUCAAGAAAUCAAAAGGAGAAACCAGUGAUGUUCAGAACGUUGACCCGUCUGCUCUUUGGUGGAGAGGAGGAAGCCCCUCAAGAGGUCAAGUCUGGGGAAGUGUUGGAAGAAGAAUGGCUAGUUGUGAGCCAUCAAGGUCAGUUGUGAGGCGUGUUUUUGGUAUAUAUUUUAUUUAACAACAAUACACAAGUUUACACUGGUUCUGACUGUAAAAAGCAAAUCUUUUACAGUCAGUUAUUUAACAUUUUCAUGCAAUUUCACAAUAUUUAUUCACACAGAUAUGUGUGCCUGUUAUACUAUUAAAGAAACAAACAUAAAACAAUCUACUUAACUCAUGUAAUGUUGUUAGAUUUUUUCCAUCUGUUGUCCUUUUUUUUGUUUAGUUAAAGAAUUGUGUGCCUAAAUCUAAUGGAUGUGUGUGCUGGACAUCAAAUCCACACAUUAAAGUGAUGUCCACUUAUAUGAUUAAUAUUGAUUUUGUCCCUACAGAGGCAGUAUCAGCUGAAAACCAAGGAGCAGAGCUGAGUGAAACACAACUAACAUCAAACUCUGCUCAUCAUGAAGACACUGUAGCGGACAUAAAAACUGAUAGCAGGUUAGCAAGCCAUUUACCCUUUACCUUGCAUAAUUUUUAACAUUGAAAAAGGUUCUUUAUUGAAAAAAAAAAGAUCUAAAUUCAUGUAAAUUCAGGUAUACGAGAAAAGAAAUUUGUACUGAAGGUGUGUUUUUCCAAUCUAUUUAACCCCUCAGAGUGCUUUUAUACAUGACUGUGCCUGCUAGGAGCUUAUAAAACACCAGAUAAAGCUACAGCUGCCUUGUUGCUCAUUUUCUGGUAGAGUUAAACUAUUCUGAUUAAAGCUGUGUUACCAUCUUUAAAAGAAAUACUGGAUGUAAUUAGAUCCUCCAUUUAUAGUUACAAUGAACAAAACUUACAACAAGGAGGACCAGAAACAAUUCCUGAAACAUGUAGAUUUAAUGAAAAAAUUGAUGGCCGAGUAGAGAAGAAGUCAAAGAGAGAAAAAACAUCGGUGAGAGCAGUCCUGUGGUGCAGCAUCCUUUAACCACCACUUGGUGGCGUCUGUAACACACAAGCUGUACAACAGGCACCAGGAAAAUACUAUUUUUUUGUUGUAACCUGCUUUUAAUAUGACAUAAGUAAUAAUCCCACAUCCUCAUCAAUAUUCAACUCUCUACCCAAGGCUGUGGUUAGCAGUAAACAUGGUCAUCUAUUUUUUUUAUUUUACUGACUAGAAAUUCAGCAGGCUUUUUUAAAACAUGUUUUCUGUUCAGUUGGUGCACUUUUUUUUUUUUUGCUUUAUUUCCCCUUAACUCCAAAUACACACACACACACACACACACACACACACACACACACACACACACACACACACACACACACACACACAAAAAUACAAACUUAAGGUUAUUAAAUUCUAGUGUUUUCUUUUAUUUGUCUCCAGUGUGUUGGAUCAAGGGACCACAGUUCAGGAAAGUAACAGCAGCAGCUCCAGCCGGACCACCACAGGCCCUGUGUUUCAUCCUAAAGCCUUGCUAGAAGUGACACAAUUAACCUCCGUACAGAAGGCUAAAGCCUGGGCAGACCGGCAUCACAUGACACGUAAUGCCAUUCAGCGCCAAAACCGUGUGCGCCAAGGAGUCCACCAUCAUUCUUUCCCACUCCAACAGCCAGGAUACCGCAACCUCAGCCACUGAGGCCUCUGCUUUUCAAUGCUUGUUGUCGACAGAAAUGUUCACAGGGAAAUAUCUUUCAACAGACAUCAAAGUAAUUAAAAAACAUGUUUGCCACAUAUAUCAGGCUUGUGAAGACUGAAGCUAUACAUCCUGUUUCGAUGUAACCCAUUAUAACACUUGACAACUGUUACCCAGGUAGUAGGCAGCUACAUUUAAACUCGUACUGUAUUUAAAAUCAAGAUAUUCACCUCAUGAAAUAAGAAACACCAUGUGCUCUUGUUUGUGUGUGUGUGUGUAACUUUAUACCUUAGAUUUUAAAGAAUGCAGCCUAUGCAAAUGUACCCUCUAACUUUAUGGAUAAAGUGAUGUGAUUUGAGAAUCGACAUGUAUAACGCUCUCUAUGUUCUUGAUUCAAAACGCUUUUUGGCAAUAAAAUGAUGACUGCAGCUU